UCGUGACCUGGCUGAAGUCGGACGCUUAACUGACUGCGCCACCCAGGCGCCCCAUGUAAACUGUCACACAGAAUGAUACUACUCCAAGUGUGACCAAUGAACCAGCAGCACCAGCAGCACCUGGGAAAUCGUCAGGAAUCCAGAAUUCCGGGCUCCGUUCCAGAGCUAUUCUCCAUUUCAGUGCGUCUUUUAAAAUUGAUUGUGCCUGGAACUAGUUGAGGCCUUUUAAUAUAAAUUAAACAUUUCUUUGCAAGA